UUUUUUGUGCGAGUUCAAUUCAUUUUUUGUGCGAGUUCAAUUCAUUUUUUUUGUGCGAGUUAAAUUCAUUUUUUUGUGGAGUUCAAUUCAGUUUUUUGUGCGAGUUCAAUUCAUUUUUUUGUGCGAGUUCAAUUCAUUUUUUUGUGCGAGUUCAAUUCGUUUUUUUUUGUCGACCUCAAUUCAUUUUUUUUGUGGGAGUUUAAUUCAUUUUUUUGUGCGAGUUUAAUUCAUUUUUUUAUGCGAGUUCAAUUCAUUUUUUUGUGCGAAUUCAAUUUAUUUUUCUGCGAGUUCAAUUUAUUUCAAUAGUUAUAACAUAUUGCCACGGUGUUGUAUCUCAAUGUUAUGAAUAUAACUAAUUUUGCCCGGAAUGCCAUAACUUGACCCAGUUAUUUAUUUAUUGUUAUAGGAUUUUUGUUGGUGCACCACUUGGAACCGCAGGAUUUCGCAAUGUUGAUUAUGGAAAUUUGAUGGAAUGUGUGAUUAACAAGCAAAGUUGUAACGUUUUCGCAAUUGAUAGGCGCGUCUGUAAGUAAAACAAGACCUGCCAAGCAAAGCAGGCAUUUGUUCGAAACACUCAGGGGUGGUUGAAUAAAACCCCUUAGAUUGAUUGAAUAAUUAAGUUCAAUGCAUCAGCCAUGCAAUCACUUUCAACUUAAAAAUAGACCGGAAGCUAUUUUUCAGUUUUGUACAAACAAUCGAUCAUGUUUUUGUUGUUAGUUUGGUGGGGUUUCCGAAUGACAAAUGUAGAGUCUGGAAGUGGUUAUUUAACCACUUGCAGGAGCAAGGAUACCCUGUGAAGUAUGCAAAGCAUAUAAGAAAAUUUAUGAAAAAUACUUGUCUAACUUCUGUAAUAUAUCCUACGUCUUGUUAUAGGGAAAUGAAAAAUACAUUCACAUCCGAAGUCGUACGAUAUGUAUUGAAAAUUAGGUGCAGAUCGGCAGCUCAAGAUUGCUAGAUUAGCAUGUCAUUUUUAUUGAAUUGUGUAUUUGUCUGUAUAUUUCUAUUUUAGCACUUUUUCAUGCGAGAAGACUAGAACAUAGGCAAUUUGAGGGCGGCCUAAGGGAAUUGUGCAACCAUUGAAAAUGCUCAAAACUACCCCAAACUUCCCCGGUGAUAUGGUCAUCUUCCUCAAACAGGAUUUUUUCCCGCAAUCUGUAAGAAUGAUUCUAAAUUGAUGCGUUAUAUUAACAUUGUGCAGAAAUCAGUUGUAUCGAGUGAGAUGUUGAGUAUACAGUAUUAUUAUUGUCCGUGUGUAUUUAUAUAAAGUAAUGGAAGUGGGAAAAAGUGCCAAAAUAUAUAACAGGAAUGUAAUCGUUCAUGAAUUUCGAAUUUUCUCAUACAGAACUAUAUAUUUCCCUUCACCCUACGUAAUAAACUUUGUAAAAUAUAGGAGUAAAUACACAUAUUUAGUAUGAAAUGUAAAUGAUUCUUGCGAUUUAGAUCCCUGUGGCCGCACAUAGGCAUUGAUUUUUACUAUAAUGUCCCACAAUAUUACACUAUAUAAUAGCGUGAGGCCGUUAAUUGAUACAGGAAAAACCGAUGUUUUUUGAAAACUGAUUCAACUUCAUGUAAUGUUGUUGAAAUGUCACAUGUUGCUAGUUCGGCAAAAGAUCAAUCUUUGGAUAUUUCUAUUUUUCGACCUACAACAUUCUUAAAUUUCGGAGUACAGUAAUCAUAAAGUACUUUCAUAGUUGUUUGUAAUAGAUUCAUCACAGCGCAUCAUAUGCUUUCACUUUGAACGAUGUUCUUUGAACGAUCUUCGGUAUAUUCUUAGUAAAUUCUUUAAAUUCUGCCUAUUUUAACCUUAAUUUCCUUAUAUAAACGAGAUUUUUAUGCCUUAAUGUCUCAAGCUUUACGUCAUUCCAGCCAACACCCAAGCUGAAUUGAAUUCAAUACAUACAAAAUUUGACGUUUGAAAUGGACAUUGAGUUUUGCAUGUAGUUUGCUCGAAUAUGAUGUAAAUUGUAUUUGACCAACGCAAAAUUCGAUAUUUGAACCAGGCCGAAGGUUUGUUAAAAUCCAGCCAAAUGAAAGUUCACUGUUAAGUAGCUUAAAACAAUUCUAUAUGCUUUAUAGCGAAAUCACAUGAAUUUCGAACAAAGCAAUGGUUAGGAGCCACUGUCUACUCUAAUGGUGAUGGAAGAGUAGUCGU